CACAAAUGAGUGCAACAGGUUGUUUUAGAUAGAUUCACAAAUAAGUUUGAUGGAUAAGUCAGUGGAAGGCUAUAAAAUAGAUCUUAAGCGUUCAUGUGCCAACCGAAAAAGCAAAGUAUGGGACUACUUUGGAACUUUGAUUAUAGAAGGCGAAAGUGUUGAAGAAGAUAAAGUUUUUUGCAAGAUAUGUUUAGAAAAACAGAAAAAAGAAGAUGGAACAGUAAUUUUUUCAUGUGCUAAAAUUCAGUCAUACAGUAAAAGCUGUUCAACCGGGAAUUUAACGCGCCAUCUAAAAAAUGAACACAAUAUACGUGAUGUCGACC